GACGAACGCUGGCGGCGUGCCUAACACAUGCAAGUCGAGCGAUGAAAUCCCUUCGGGGAUGGAUUAGCGGCGGACGGGUGAGUAACACGUGGGUAACCUGCCUCAAAGUGGGGGAUAGCCUUCCGAAAGGAAGAUUAAUACCGCAUAAUAUUAGAUUUUCGCAUGAAGAACUAAUUAAAGAAGUAAUUCGCUUUGAGAUGGACCCGCGGCGCAUUAGCUAGUUGGUGAGGUAAUGGCUCACCAAGGCGACGAUGCGUAGCCGACCUGAGAGGGUGGUCGGCCACAUUGGAACUGAGACACGGUCCAGACUCCUACGGGAGGCAGCAGUGGGGAAUAUUGCACAAUGGGGGAAACCCUGAUGCAGCAACGCCGCGUGAGUGAUGAAGGUCUUCGGAUUGUAAAGCUCUGUCUUUUGGGACGAUAAUGACGGUACCAAAGGAGGAAGCCACGGCUAACUACGUGCCAGCAGCCGCCGUAACAC
rnacentral:rRNA from 1 species